rnacentral:rRNA from 1 species
AACUGAUUCACUAGAGUACGAAAGAGGAAAGUAGAAUUCACAGUGUAGCGGUGGAAUGCGUAGAUAUUGUGAAGAAUACCGAUGGCGAAGGCAGCUUUCUGGUUCUGUACUGACACUGAGGUGCGAAAGCGUGGGUAGCAAACAGGAUUAGAUACCCUGGUAGUCCACGCUGUAAACGAUGAUUACUCGUUUUCGGCGAUAUACAGUCGGAGACUAAGCGAAAGUGAUAAGUAAUCCACCUGGGGAGCACGAUCGCA